GAACAAUUUUCUUAAUUUUAUUCCCCUUGCCAGCUGCUUCCUCUCCUAAAACUGAACUUGCAGCAUCAUUGACGCUAAUUAGAAGAGAACCAAAGACACCACCUCACACAGUUCUGAAGUAAGUGUGAUCAACCUUUGAAGAAGCUAACUAACUGACAACCAGUCAGUUUAACCUGUCCCCUAUUGGAGCGCUCACAAAAGGUAAUUGAGGCACCAAAAGAGGUGAGGGGGAAAAAAAAAAAAAGAAAUGUAUGAAGAAAUCCUGAUUGCAGACUGUGGAUUACUUAACAGUUCAGUAACCUCUGAUGACUCGGCAUGUUCUGAGGUAUGGGUCGCUUUUUCAUUUUGUAGAGGACCCAGGCCGCCAUCAGGCCCAAAGAUUCACUGUCAGUGGAACCCCUUCUAGGGCUGUGGAGCCUCCAGUGGGCCGGACUUGGGUGUCAGAAUGGAAACAAUUUGACCAUUCAUUCCAGGAGGCUGAGUCCAACUUGAUCUCACACUUAGCGCAGGCUUUCGUAAACCUCAGCUUAAGCGCCUCAGGCAUAAUGUGAAAGGGCGGGCACAGAUGAAAAAAGGUGUGACUCAUUUCACUUCGCCCCUUCUUGAAGGUCAGCCUAAUACCAGACACCUUGGUGAGAAUAUAUGGGUGUGCAUAGUUGCCUGAUCGGGGGAUUUGUUAGAUUUUGCCUAACCACCGAGGGAGGUCGAGGGUGUGUUGGAUUCAGAGGCGGGACCGUGGCCUGGGAGUCCAGGGCGGGCUUGGAGAGUCACUCGGGUGCAGGGACCGGCUCGAAUUCAUCUUCGUAUCAUGGGUCUAACACGGUGGUCGGCUUCCUCACUUGCGGGAGCCUGGCCUCAGGAGGGAACGAAGGCGGCCGCAGGCGGGACAUGUCGCCAUGUCGCACGGCUAAGCGUCAGGGACCUCGGUGAGGGGACGGAUCUUCUGACUUGAGCCCAGUGGGCGUGGCCGCCGAGAGGCGCUGGACUACGAGGUAGCCCUGUGGGCGCGCACUGCGGAGACCUGGUCUCCGAACCCGCUCUGGGCUGCUUCCGCCGCCGCCCAGGAGCAUGGCAAGGCCUCGCGCGGGCCAGAUGAGCCAGUCUGCGCUCCUUAUUGGACAAGGGCUCUUGUCAAUCACUGAGGAAACCCGACCCGACACUGAGGAUGCGACCGGACUCACCGGACUUCCCGCCUC
ensembl:lncRNA